CCUGGAUUCUGUAUUUCUAAACAGUUCUCAUUUAUCUGCAAGUUAUGCAAUUUCUUAAUUUCAAUAACAAAUUUUCCUAAACCUGGGGCUGACUGCUAGAGGUUUCUGGGGCUUUGGCACAAUCAUGAAUGGUUAAUACAUUAAGUGCCUGAGGGCAGGUUUGGUUGCCAGACGGCUAGUUUUAAGUUUUUAAAGAACUAAAACACUAGGGCUGGUUCAGCAGUACCUGUACCUCUUCUGUCACUGAGAGCUGCUUGUGGUGAGCUCGUGCCAGCAACAGGUGUUCAGCCUCAACUGUCAUCACAGAUUUUCAGCCUCCUUUUCGGAUUCUUGCUGAUUCUCCUUAGGCCUUACACCCAGUAAGCCCUAGGGGAAAUGGGCUGAAAACCGUUGGGAGCUCUUACCUGAGUGAGUAUCAGAGUCACCCACAGCUGUGGGGCACAGGCACUUUCUAAGUGUCUCCCCUUCCAGACAUGUGUGGAUCACCUCGGCAGGGCUCAGUGUGCUGGUGAAGGAGCUCCCAAUGGGCUCCAGAUGGAGAAACAGUGCCCUGAGUCUGCCAGCUGAGGUCAAAAUGGAGACAAGGCCGGGCGCAGUGGCUCGUGCCUGGAGUCCCAGUACUUUGGGCAGCCACGGCUGGAGGAUCACUUGUUGCCCAGGAUUACCUGGCAACAUAUCGAGACCCUGUCUCCACGAAAUAAAAACAAAAACCUGAGUGAGACUGGCCUGCGUUGCUGGAGAGGUGAAGAAUGGAGUUGGGAGGGAAAUGAGAGGCUGGACAGCUGGUGCAGCCUGAAAGUCUCUGUGCCUCUUUCAUGGACUCUUUGCUUCCUGUAAACCAAAAAUAAAAUUAUAAGCCCCCCACCCCCAACCAUCCGAAUGCCCUCUUUAGCCAGGGCACUCUAAGAUUUAACCUGAAAGACUGGUUGAGGCUGCGACAGGAAGAGAGGGUUGGAAAUGCCUCAUUAAACCUCUCUAGCAUUAAAGCAGACUUUCGGUCUGGCAAGAAACAUGUACAAUCUGUUCUCUCUGAAGGCUGCUACCUGGAGGCUUCAUCUGCAUGACAAAACUGUGGUCUCUACAACCUCUUAUCAAAACCCAGACAUUCCUUUCUAUUGAUUCCAGCUCUUUAGAUAAACUCUUUCAACUAAUUGCCAAUCAGAGAAAGUUUAAAUCUACCUAUAACCUGGAAGCCCCCGUCCCCACCUUCAAGUUGUCCUACCUUUCUGGACCAAACCAAUGUAAAUCUUAAAUGUAUUUGAUUGAUGUCUCAUGUCUCCCCAAAAUGUAUAAAGCCAAGCUGCACCCCACUCACCUUGGGCACAUGUUCUCAGGAUCUCCUGAUGGCUAUGUCACAGGCCAUGGCCACUUAUAUUUGGCUCAGAAUAAAUCUUUUCG
rnacentral:lncRNA from 10 species